GACAUAUCGUCAGUGAGAAGUUACAAUUUAAUUUUUUCCUCUGUCAGUUUCAUUGUUGACGCAAGCGUCCGUGGGCGGAGUCUGAACGAGUGUAAAUCACAGUGACACCGCAGAUCUCACUGUUUCAUUAUCCCAGUGUUUCUUCUCUCGGAGCUCUUGUUCUGAUCUUAUCAUUCACCAGGGUGAUAUUACAGGAUUUUUAUUCACACAGAGCUGACGUGGAGGUUUCUGCUCUUCAUCAAAUCACUUUUUACAGUCAUCAGACGAGGACAUUGCGAAGGGAAAGUGAUAUAUGACAGAUCACAGUAUCAGAGAAAAGAGAAAAGUGCAUUAAAUAAAAGAUGCACAGCAGAGAAAAAGAUCCAGAGUCCAAAGAAACACGAGAGAAAAGUCAACUGAAGUAUAUUCGCAGAGAAAGCAUGCAGCAAAAACCAAACUUGUGUCUGGAUGCAGACGGACCUGAAGAGCUUCGUUCUGGUGAAUUAGAGACAGACACAGAUGAGGUCACUUCAGUUCAUCAAGCUUGUUUUGAGCUCUUCAGCUCCUUCAUCUUCAUCUUUAUCAGUCAUCCGUUAUCUGUCAAUAAUGUUAGAUCACGUCUCUCUCUGCUGGACACAUUUGAGUUGCACAACAUUUCUGACAUCAUUUACUCAUCCUCAUGUUGUUCCAAACCUGUAUGAGUUUCUUUCUUCUCAUAAACACAAAAGAAGAUAUUCUGAAGAAUGCAGGUAACCAAACAGCCAUUGAUUUCCAUAGACAAAAAUACCAUGGAAGUCAAUGGCUACCGGCAACUGUUUGGUUACCAACAUUCUUCUGAAUAUUUCUUUUGUGUUCAGGUUUGGAACCUGUGUGUAAAUCAUGACAGAUUUUAUUUUUGGCUGACUAUCCCUUUAACAUUUAUUAAGCUCUGUAAGUUUGUUUUAAGUGAAUGACAGCAGCAGUUUACUGAAAUUCGGCCUGAUGUGAGUGUUAAACUCUCUAGAUCAUCUGCAGUAUUUUAAAGCAUCUCUGUCCUUUUGCUUUUCUCUGUUUGAUCUGAAAGACCCAGAAAACAUUUCACCAGCAUUUUGCACAUUGUUUGUUGUUCUCCUCAUUUGACUUGUUUCAGAACCUGAAGAAACCUAAGACAUUUUUGACUGUUCAUUGUAAUAUCUUUUUAAUUGUACUUCUUUUAUUUUUAUAUUUUAUAAGUUUUUAUAUAAAAAAGAAACCUCAGUGAGAUGUGCUUUACAUCUAAUAGUAAACAUCUGUCUUCCCUUUGUGCUUGUGUGGAUUUGUUUAAUUACAUUUGAAAAAUUAAUAAGAAUAGAGUGCUGCAGGUACAAUGUUUUUUUUUUUUUUCAAAAAUACAUGCAUUUUUUUCUCAAAUAUAAAAAGAUGUAAAGAAUGCAUACAUUUUGCAAUAAUGACUUAGAUGAACCAGGAGUAUGCAUUAAAGGGAUAGUUCACCCAAAAAAUGAGGGUGAGUUAAUGAUGAAACAAUUGUCAUUUUUGAGUGAACUAUCCCUUUAAGCAAAAACAGAAUAAAAAGAAAAAGAUUGUUUAAUGUAAAAACCAAUGUUUGAUGAUCAGUAAAGCUGAAUCGUGUAGAUCAUGUUACUGUGGUUGUGACAGAGCUUGAGCAAUCUCCAACAGAUUCAAACUUCACCACUAAUCAUAGCAAAUCACCCUCUUAGAUUACUUUAUUCAAACAAAUUCCAUCUUUUUCUUAAUCUGAAUGUCAAAUAACUUGUAAGUCAUGCAUCUAAAUGUGAACUUUGUUUAGUUAAACGCCUUCGGACCAUGCUUUUUCAUAUGAGCGGCCUGUAAAUGAUGAGACGUGAAGAGCACUGCUACAGCUUUUCUCCAGUGUGAACUCUCAUGUGUUUCAUAAGGUUUAUCUCUGUAGCUCUUUCCAAACUCAGAACGGGUGAAAGACCCGUCGACUCCAGUUUGUUUUUGUGUGAAAUUCAUUUGAGUCUGUGGAAUGACUUCAUUUCCUUCUUCAUUUGUGAAAUGAUGUGGUUUUGAAACCGGUGUUGUCUGUCCUCUUGCACUUCCAUUGGGUCUAAAAUCGACAUAUAACAUUCUCAAUAUUCAAAUAAAAAAGGACAAAUGAAAGCAAAAAAUAUAAAGUCACAACUAUAGAAUAAUUUUAAGAUUUAUUUAUGACUGCUAAGAGGCGUUUUAGGUUCACUAAAACAAACCGGAUCAUAAAGUCAUUUUUCAUAGUCAGAAGUCAAAUUUAUGACAACAAAAGUAGUCAGAUUUAGUUUUAGGCUAUAUAAAUAAUACAUUUACUCACAGUCUGAUAAACAGCAGGUUGAGAGUUGUUUCGUGAACCACGAUGGACUCAUAAACUCUCAUGGUUGAAAUUAAAUCAAAUGGCAACAUCUAGAAGAACACAGAUAAAUAUAUAAUAUAUAGUUAGAUACUUUAUUAUUAUAGCAGCUGUUUCUAUGGGCUGCUGUAAGCCGUCCGCCAUACUGGAAAGGUCAAAGGGCAUGUCUGUGAACACCUGAGAGCAAGUUUGUCUGCAAACAUACUGAAGACUUUAGGGACUUGUAUGAAUAUCUGUUUCUGCAAUAGAUUUCAGCAGAUAAUUUUACUAAACAAGGCAUUGAGGCCGCAAGCUAAGUUAUUUACAAGCCCUGAAAUAAGCAAAGAUAAGAACAUGAAAUCUAGACUUAAACAAACUGUUAUUUUCACAUUCAACCACUAGAUAGCAGAAGUUCAUUUCAGAGCAAACUCAUGUGUGUUUUAUUGAAGGUAGCCUGAAACCUGAGAUGAUGCAGUUUGGAAAAAACUAUGCAGUGCAAAAUCAAGGCUUGCUACUUUCUCUGCUUCAGGAGCCUAUAUUUAAUGAUUUGUGUGUGUGUGUUUGAGUACUGAGUAACUUAAAAAUUAUUUUUAGGACUUUAGUUUUAUGUGCAGUUUGGGAUUUGAAUGACAGAUUCACAUUCAAACAUCUAUAUCAAGAAUUCAGAUUAUACAAUUAACAUUAAACAACUUGUUGAUGUAAUGCAAUCCAGUUCAGGUUUUUACAUUCAUCUAUUUGGAUAUGAAAGUGCAUAUUGCAAUGUUUGAUUCUGACAAUGAUAGGAAAUAAUUUUCCCUGCCAUAUUUAUUCAUUCAUAAACAUAUAGAUUACAUGUGUGGGGGAUUAUGAAAGGUUUCACAUUUACACACUUAGGUUUUCAGAUGUUGAGUGUAAUGAGAAAGCUACACAUAUAUUUGAAACUUUCCAAAUGUUACAGCACAGCAUAAGACCCUGAAUGUUUACGACUACAGUUUCACGCUUCUCAACUUUUUUCUGGCACACUUCACUCCUCUCUGCUCACAAGAUCUGCCAGCACCUGCUUACUACGCGCCGGAAAACACGUAGACCCUAAAAAAAACAGGAUUGUUAUGCGCCCGCUUGAACAGAUAAAGAUUUUUAAGAAAUAGUUCUUGAUCACGCUAUGGGACGUCCCAAAUUGAGUAGGCUAGGUCUACUAUUAAAGGAGGGAGUACACUUCUUUCCCCACAGAUUAAAUGUUGAAGUGCUCUGCUGGAUUUAGACGAAAAGUGUGUUUCUGUGGACAUUGCUUUAAUCUUGGAUCUUAGAGCUAAUAAUACGGUGCUUAUUCGUAAGUUUCACUGUGUUUAAUAAUUGCUUUGUAGUUUUAUUUAUAGGAUUUGUAAAGCUGUAGCAUCUUCUUAAACGGAUGCAGAGACCGUUCAACAUACUGUUUAAAUAUUGAUAUCUGAAAGACCAAGAAAGACUGGUAUUUUAAUGUAAUGUUAAGAAGAAUAAAAAAAACAAUGCCCCGCAGUUUAUUUACUGCAGUUUGUUUGGGAAAACACAGAAAAGAAGGGAACACUAGAAGAGACAAAUGGAGAGGAGGAGGGAUGAACAUUCACAAGCCACAGGAUCAAAACCAGCAAAUGUGGAGAAUCUUGUUAAAAGGAACAGUUUGAAUCUUGAUGUGAAUCUGAAAUGUGAGUAUUUAAUAGUCCUGAUGAAUCCUUGAUGAAUAGAUUUAGGACUUGCACAGAAAUCACAAAGAGUCAUAUAUUAAGUCACUUUUUAGUUUUUAGUGUGGUGUUUUGUCUGUCAUUGGAGAAACUUGUUCAGUUUGUGAUAAACCGAGAGCAGUAACUUUUUUGUUGUCAUCGUCUUCAUUCGUCUCUUCUAACAUGCAAUAAUUCAUCCAGCUUUAAAAAUCUAAAUAGACUAAUUAAAAGCAGUAUUAUAUUGUGUUUUCAGUCUCUCAUGAUGCAGACAGACAUCUCGAUGUAUCAGAAUCAAAGACGAGGUGAGUGAUGCAGUUCAUAUACAGAGACAGACUCAAGACUAAGAUUGAAACGAUUGAAGAUGUUUUUCUUUAAUCUUACUGAGAGUUUAGCUGAUCUUCAGUUGCUCAUAUCUCCAGCAGAUCAUCUGAACACCAACCAGACAAAACUCUGUGAAUCUCUCACGUUUCUUCAGAUGGAGCUGAAACAGUUAAUUGUUUCCAGUCCUGGCUUUAUCCAAUCAGGAGCUUCUUCAGCAGCUUGGGUUCAGAAAUCCACCUUUAUGUAGAAAGUAGAAAGUAUGUAAGUCUUGCCAGUUUACUCUUAACUGUAAAGGAGUUUUCCAUAUUGAUUUUUUUUACAGGUGUUUUGUUUUCCGUUGUUGUUUUUGUUGUUUAACAGUGUUUUCUGUGUACACACAGUGAGCACAAAUCAGAAAUUACUGAACUGAUCUUAACUGAGUUACAAUAAAAUGUCUUGAAUGUAACUAGUUGGGAGAAAAAACCAGAGACAACAGCUUUAUAAACCUGCUGCUGUCUUGUGUCAUUAAAGGUGCCAUAUGCAGAAAUUGAGGUAAAAAUAUCCAUAAUAUGACCUACACGCAUCAAAAGAAUGAGAAGAAAUAAGGG
ensembl:lncRNA